rnacentral:rRNA from 2 species
GAAGUCAAUUAACAUGAUUAUGGUUUUAAAUACCGUAUAUUGUCAAAGUGGAUUGAUUAACAUGAUAUUAUUGACUGGUUAUUUUUGCAUUUUAGGGCUUGCAAUUUAUCAGGAUAAUUGGUAAAUUAGUAUACGUUGUUGAGGCGCACAAAGCGGUUAGCCGCUUGCUUCCAACGAAAAUUAAUUAUAAAAAGUUGUUGACAAGAUGUUGAUAACUUGAUAUGAUGAUUAAGUUGCGUUGAGGUAAUCAACGAACGAUUUAGACCUUUGAAAACUGAACAAAGUUUCGACGAAUCAAAUGUGUAGGGUCUCUUGAUUUUGAAUCAAGAGCAAAACAUUUGCGAAGUCAAUUCGCUAGCAAAUAAAUUUUAGUACAACAUUAAAUGAGCUUUUUAGAACUCAUCAUUAAUUUGAGAGUUUGAUCCUGGCUCAGGACGAACGCUGGCGGCGUGCCUAAUACAUGCAAGUCGAACGAACUCUGGUAUUGAUUGGUGCUUGCAUCAUGAUUUACAUUUGAGUGAGUGGCGAACUGGUGAGUAACACGUGGGAAACCUGCCCAGAAGCGGGGGAUAACACCUGGAAACAGAUGCUAAUACCGCAUAACAACUUGGACCGCAUGGUCCGAGUUUGAAAGAUGGCUUCGGCUAUCACUUUUGGAUGGUCCCGCGGCGUAUUAGCUAGAUGGUGGGGUAACGGCUCACCAUGGCAAUGAUACGUAGCCG